rnacentral:piRNA from 1 species
UGAGGUCAGAGGCUGAACAUGGGUUG